rnacentral:rRNA from 1 species
GACGAACGCUGGCGGCGUGCUUAAUACAUGCAAGUCAACUUGACUUUAGAUAGCAAUAUCGAAAAGUAGGGUGGCGCACGGGUGCGUAACGCGUAGGUAAUCUGCCCUGAGGUCUGACAUAACCCGUCGAAAGGCGGGCUAACAUCAGAUGAUAUAUAAUCACGACAUCGUGGAAAUAUCAAAUCUUCGGAGCCUUGGGAUGAGCCUGCGUCUGAUUAGGUAGUUGGCGGAGUAAUAGCCCACCAAGCCUACGAUCAGUAGCUGGUCUGAGAGGAUGAUCAGCCACACUGGAACUGAGACACGGUCCAGACUCCUACGGGAGGCAGCAGUAAGGAAUAUUGUCUCAAUAGGGGAAACCGUACGAAGACGAGCAACGACCGCCGUCGGAAGGAAGUA